ensembl:lncRNA
AUGUCUACCGAAGGCGCUGCAGCCCUCUGCCUUCUCUUCCAGAAUGCCCUCCCCAGCAACCGAACAAUGACUCCAAUCAUGCCAGCGAGCUCCGCAGACUCCAGAUGUCACAGACCGGCUGGGUUUCCAGCAACAUCCCAGACCAUACACCACCCAACCAGGGUGAAAAGGAUGAAAAUAGCUCCAGGUAAGCAGAGCGGGAGGAGGGAUGUCAAUGUUCAAAUGGGACCUGAAUCAACCGCAGAUUCUGUUGUCAUUGGCCUCACCUGGGGACCCAAGGACAUUUGUGUGAGAUGGAGAGGGAGGGAAAGAAUUCCCACACAGCUGCUGGGUGGGUGCUGACUAAGCACAGAGCUGCCCUGGGAGAACACGCGGUGCUGGCAAGGAAGAAUCCCCGCCAGGCCAGGCAGCAGACAGACUUUACCUCUCCAUCUCCAUGUCCUCAUGUGCAAAAUAAAAAGAAGGAGCCAGACGUUUAGGUAUUAUAAGUAGAUAUAGUAACAGCAAAUGCUUACAUAGUGCUUACAACAGGGCAGCCACCAUCUGGCUGAGUUUUUAUUCACUCAAUUAUCAUGACAGCCCUAGAGACGGUAGGUUAUUUUCCCCACCUUGCAGAGUUGAUAAAAGUUGUGUUUAAACCCAGAUGGUUAGAUCCUAUAGCCCAUGCUUUUAACCAUUACAUCCUGCUGCCUGCCUAAGUAUAAAACCUCUACAUGAGGCUCUCAGUUCAUGAACAAUCUGGGGUGGGGGAAGUGUUUUUAAAGUGUCAAAUGAAAUUCUUCGAGGCUCUCCACAACUUAAGCCUGGGCUCAUAGAAAUAAAUAGCUCUGUUGUUCUUUCAGGUGUCUGAAAUCCAUGAUAGGAUACAAAAAUAACAAGAUCGAGAGUACAACAGCUCUCUCCUCUGAGCUUUUAACAAUCUUAAAGUGAGUCACAUGUUGGCUUUUAAAUCUAGAUUGUAUCCUUAAACUAAAAGAGUUGUUUAGACAAUGGGGCUUUUGGCAGUCUCCUAGCAAAACCGGCCAAUUACGUGAACCCCAAAUGCCAAGCUUAUCUGGUUUGCAAAAGCCAUUCAGAGACUUAAGUGCACUGAUUUAGGUAAUUUUACAAGGGAAUCUUUUUUUUUUUUUUUGAGACAGAGUCUCGCUCUGUCGCCCAGGCUGGAGUGCAGUGGUGCGAUCUCAGCUCACUGCAAGCUCCGCCUCCUGGGUUUACACCAUUCUCCUGCCUCAGCCUCCCGAGUAGCUGGGACUACAGGUGCCCACCACCUCACCCAGCUAGUUUUUUUGUAUUUUUCAGUAGAGACGGGGUUUCACCAUGUUAGCCAGGAUGGUCUCGAUCUCCUGACCUUGUGAUCCGCUCGUCUCGGCCUCCCAAAGUGCUGGGAUUACAGGCUUGAGCCACCACGCCCGGCCUACAAGGGGAUCUUAAGAUGAAAUGUAAGCAUGAGAAUUUCUAUCCACUCUCGUCUGGUUCCCCAUCCUAAUAUAUCAAUCAGUCAAUGAACUGCUGACAUUUGCAUAAUACACUGGAUAGAUCAUGAGGACCAAGACUGUACCAUAAACAGCAAUUUUUAAAUUUCAGUACCUAAUUUUUACUUGCUCUCUUUUUCCCAAUUCAGUUUCUUCUAAAACAAACAAUGAAUUUAAUAAGCGUACUCUUAGGUGAAUUUUUUUAGUUCAUAAUGACUCAGAAAUCCAACUGCUUAGAUUUUCUGGGUCAGUGUUUUGCAAGCCUGUGAUGUAUAUAAGAAUCACCUGGGCACCCUUGUUAAACUGCAGAUUCUGGUUCAGUAAGUCCAGGAGGAGGUGGGAGGCAGGGAGCCCAGUGUAGGGUGCUGAGAUCCUACAUACCUAGUAACUCCCAGGUAAUGCAGAUGCUGCCAGUCCCCUAACACAUUCUGCAUGUCUAGCUCUUAGACCACACUGAAUAGACAGGAAGAGACAGGGAGGAGACAGUUCCCGGCAGUGGCUUUAGUGACAAACCAACUUGACUAGGAGUCCUUUGUAACGUGAUUUUAAGGGCUUAAUUUGGGAAGCAUCCCCAACUUACAAAAACGAACGCUGCCACCUAAAAUUUUAGUCAGAAAAAUUAUCCCUUCAUCUUCUCAAAUAAGAACACCUCAAGAAGAGAGGCAACAAUUGAUUCCAGGAUUUGGCCAGGACCAGAAUUGAGAGCACUCCGCAGUGUUUGGGAACAUUGUGGAGGGAACUGAGGGAUGUGGAAUGGGGAGGGACCAAGAAUAUCUGGAAUGAGGACUGAGCCUGGGGGCCAGAGGAGACUCACAGGUGUACUGAACCUUCCACAGGUGACAGGAGGACCCUGGCUGAAGGGCAGUCACACUGUGGGCUCAUAGUCCUGCCCAAUUUUCCUGCCUUUUGGAGGUGGUUGAACAUGAAGCCUCAAUCAGGCUUUCCUGAUACAGAGGGAGAACUAAAUUUAGAGCCAGGGAGACUGCAUGAAGCUUCUGAUAAGAAGGGAAAAGCAGCAGCAAGGGAAUGAACGCCAGGGAGGACAAAUGGCACAGCACGUAAGAGCACAGGCUCUGGAUGCAGGCUGCCCGGGGCCACAUCUGCCUCAGCCACCAGCAAGCACACAUCUCUAAAAGGCUGGUUGUCAGCAAGUGGAUAAAGAAAAUAUGGUACACAUACACCAUGGAAUACUACUCAGCCUUAAAACAGAACCAAAUAAUGGCAUUUGCAGCAACCUGGAUGGAGCUGGAGACUAUUAUUCUAAGUGAAGCAACUUAGGAAUGGAAAACCAAACAUCGUAUGUUCUCACUUCUAAGUGGGAGCUAAGCUAUGAGGAUGCAAAGGCAAAAGAAUGAUAGAAUGGACUUUGGGGACUCAGGGUGCGGGAGCGGAGCAAGGGAUAAAGACUACAUAUUGGGUACUGUGUACACUGCUUGGGUGACGGGUGCACCAAAAUCUCAGAAAUCACCACUAAAGAAUUUAUCCAUGUUACCCAAAACCACUUGUUCCCCAAAAGCUGUUAAAAUAAAAAAUAAAUGAAAGUAAAGGGCUAGUUGUUUAGCCACUGUGUACCCUGCCUUCUCAGUGGUCAAAGGUAAUGUGAAGAAAGAAACUGGUGGUAUCUACUCUAAUAUCUACUCUCAUUUUUUUGUCUUAUGACAGAACUCAAAUAUUUGCCUGUGCUACAUUGUGACUGGGAAACAAUAAGACUGCAUUUCCCAGCCUCUCUUUGCAGCUAGAUAUGAAUAUGUAACAUGUGAGUUCUGACCAAUGAAAUGUAAGCAGAAGUAUUGGGAUUUCUAGGAAUAAAAGAAGAUGGCCCUUUUACCCUCCCUUCCUGCUUUCUGCUACCUGAAACAGAGAUGUGAUGACUGCAGCUACUGCUGCUAUCUUGGACCAAGAAGUAACCUUGAAGUUACGUGCCAAGGAUGGUGAAGGAGAAAGGUAGACGUCUUGUUGACACUGUGGAGCCAUCGAAACAACAGUGGCCUGGCCCACCUCCAGACGUUUUGUUUUUCACAUAGGAGAAAAACUCGAUUUUUUUUUCUUUUUAAAUAAAAAACCUCCAGUGGGCAGAAAAAGAAACCCUUAGUCUUAUCUAAGCCACUAUUGUUCAGGGCAUUCUGUGUAAGCAGCUGCACCAAAUACUACCUGAUACAUGGGUAUAAUGUGAAGUAACUGCUUCUUUUUUUUUUUUUUUUUUGUAAGAACUAAGUGAAAGAAUGUAUGUAAAACUCCCAGUGCCCUUCCUUCCAAACACACAGUAAGUCUCAGUAUUGUUCAUCCUUACUUUUAAGUGAUGGAGAGGGUCAGAGCUUAGAAUGACAACUUUGAGAGCUGAAAGGGAACUUCGUCACCAGCAAUCCUCACCCCUCAAUUUUAAAAACGAGAUGCCUGAGUGCUGGAAAGGCCAGGGGCUUGCACAGGGCACCCCGCCUGGUAGAGGCAGCUCAGGUCUCCUCAUGUCUGUUCCAGGCCCUUUCUCAAAGCAGAGAGUAUGGAGCGGCUGACACGAGAGGGAAUCGAUGAAGUCAAGAGGCAACCCCUAAGUAAUAGGACAUCUCCCACACAAAAGCCCUGAGGGGGAGCAAAUGUUUAAUUCUGAGGUUCCUCAUUCAAACAAAAUCCAUCUAAAUUUGAUUAUAUACUAAACUAUCAGGAAGCAGGGAGUCGGGAGGAGGCAAGGCAUAAAGAGAUCAGGCUUGGCUUUACAACCAGUUUUGCAGUAUUUGUG